GCCUAGGAACUUCAAACUUGGUAUGGUGAUUGGUCUUGACCAGUAGAUGACCCCUAUUGAUUUUGGGUCAAGGGGUCAAAGGUCAAGGUCACAUUGACCUUGUAAGUAAAAACGGUUUCUGAUCAGUAACUAAAGAACGCUUAGGCCUAGGAACUUCAAACUUGGUAUUGUGAUUGUUCAUGAUCAGUAGAUGACCCCUAUUGAUUUUGGGUCAAGGGGUCAAAGAUCAAGGUCACAUUGACCUUGUAAGUAAAAACGGUUUCCGAUCAAUAACUAAAGAGCCCUUUAGGCCUAGGAACUUCAAACUUGGUAUGGUGAUUGGUCUUGACCAGUAGAUGACCCCUAUUGAUUUCGGGUCAAGGCGUCAAAGGUCAAGGUCACAUUGACCUUGUAAGUAAAAACGGUUUCCGAUCAGUAACUAAAGAACGCUUAGGCCUAGGAACUUCAAACUUGGUAUGGUGAUUGGACAUGACCAGUAGGUGACCCCUAUUGAUUUUGGGGUCAAGGGGUCAAAGGUCAAGGUCACAUUGACCUUGUAAGUAAAAACAGUUUCCGAUCAAUAACUAAAGAACGCUUAGGCCUAGGAACUUCAAACUUGUUAUUGUGAUUGUUCAUGACCAGUAGAUGACCCCUAUUGAUUUUGGGUCAAGGGGUCAAAGUCACAUUGACCUUGUAAGAAAAAACAGUUUCCGAUCAAUAACUAAAGAACGCUUAGGCCUAGGAACUUCAAACUUGGUAUGGUGAUUGGUCAUGACCAGUAGAUACCCCUAUUGUAUUUGGGGUCAAGGGGUCAGAGGUCAAGGUCACAUUGACCUUGUAGGUAAAAACGGUUUCCGAUCAAUAACUAAAGAACGCUUAGGCCUAGGAACUUCAAACUUGGUAUGGUGAUUGGUCAUGACCAGUAGAUGACCCCUAAUGAUUUAGGGGUCAAAGGUCAUGGUCACAUUGACCUUGUAGGUUAAAACGGUUUCCGAUCAAUAACUAAAGAACGCUUAGGCCUAGGAACUUCAAACUUGGUAUGAUGAUUGGUCAUGAGCAGUAGAUGACCCCUAUUGAUUUUGGGGUCAAGAGGUCAAGGUCACAUUGAUCUUGAAGGUAAAAACGGUUUCCGAUCAAUAACUAAAGAACGCUUAUGCCUAGGAACUUUAAACUUGGUAUGUUGAUUGGUCAUGACCAGUAGAUGACCCCUGUUGAUUUUGGGGUCAAGGGGUCAAAGGUAAAGGUCACAUUGACCUUGUAGGUAAAAACGGUUUCCGAUCAAUAACUAAAGAACGCUUAGGCCUAGGAACUUCAAACUUGGUAUGGUGAUUGGUCAUGACCAGUAGAUGACCCCUAUUGAUUUUGGGGUCAGUGUCAAAUUGACCUUGUACUUUAAGAUGGUUUCUGACCAAUAACUCAACAACUCAAGUUGCCUUGGUUGAUAUUUUUAUAUUAAACUAAAAAUGCUUUUGGUAUACACUUUUGAAGGUCUUAUGCAACUUGGCUGUCAUUAAUGAGGCCUAUGGUCAUGAUUCAUAAAAUUUAUGCAUUUUUUUUUGUAAGAUUUGUAAUAACUUAAAUUGCUGCACACAACCUAUGGGGUCACAAUAAUUAUUACCUUGUGACUAGUCAUGACCAGUAGAUAACCCUUAUUAAUUUUUUGUUCACUGGGUCAGAAGUCAUGCAUAAUAACCUGAUCACAUGACUAAUUGGCUGCCCAUAGGGGGCAUACAUGUUUUACAAACAUAUCUUGUUUCUUAAGGU